AAUCAGAAGCGUCUUGCUCUGUGACUGUCUCUGAUUCUCUGUGAUUACUGAAGACUGUUGUCUACCUCUCUCAGUGUGUUUUAUGGAAAUUAGGAGUAAACAUGAACAAAAGAGAUGAAGACACAAAGCAGUGGAAACAUGGAGCUUGUGAAGAUCGUCAGAUGGAGCAGCUGCAGUGAUAUAAGACCAUUGUUCUCUGCUGAUCCACACACACCUGUGAAGAGCUGCUCUCAUCAAUCACACAAGAUCACACAUGAUGUAAGAUAUUAAUAAUGUCCAUCAGUUUCAGCAUGUGUGACUUUAUUAAUUAAUCUGGUUUCUCUUUUGAAAAGCACAGCACAUUAAAGUCUCUUCUGGACACUCCAGCUCCUGACAGCAUCGAUUCAUUCACAUUUCAUUCAUUUAGCAGACGCUUUUGUCCAAAGCAACGUUUGGCCAAACAAAUGAGAAACACUGGAAGCAAUUCCAUGAGAUAAGAACUUAAUUCAAUAUUUUUAUAGCACU